GGGACACGUGGUAUCCUGUCUGAAUAUGGGGGGACCAUCCUCCAAGGCUAAAUACUCCUGACUGACCGAUAGUGAACCAGUACCGUGAGGGAAAGGCGAAAAGAACCCCGGCGAGGGGAGUGAAAAAGAACCUGAAACCGUGUACGUACAAGCAGUGGGAGCCUCUUAAUGGGGUGACUGCGUACCUUUUGUAUAAUGGGUCAGCGACUUAUAUUCUGUAGCAAGGUUAACCGAAUAGGGGAGCCGAAGGGAAACCGAGUCUUAACUGGGCGUUAAGUUGCAGGGUAUAGACCCGAAACCCGGUGAUCUAGCCAUGGGCAGGUUGAAGGUUGGGUAACACUAACUGGAGGACCGAACCGACUAAUGUUGAAAAAUUAGCGGAUGACUUGUGGCUGGGGGUGAAAGGCCAAUCAAACCGGGAGAUAGCUGGUUCUCCCCGAAAGCUAUUUAGGUAGCGCCUCGUGAAUUCAUCUCCGGGGGUAGAGCACUGUUUCGGCAAGGGGGUCAUCCCGACUUACCAACCCGAUGCAAACUGCGAAUACCGGAGAAUGUUAUCACGGGAGACACACGGCGGGUGCUAACGUCCGUCGUGAAGAGGGAAACAACCCAGACCGCCAGCUAAGGUCCCAAAGUCAUGGUUAAGUGGGAAACGAUGUGGGAAGGCCCAGACAGCCAGGAUGUUGGCUUAGAAGCAGCCAUCAUUUAAAGAAAGCGUAAUAGCUCACUGGUCGAGUCGGCCUGCGCGGAAGAUGUAACGGGGCUAAACCAUGCACCGAAGCUGCGGCAGCGACACUAUGUGUUGUUGGGUAGGGGAGCGUUCUGUAAGCCUGUGAAGGUGUACUGUGAGGUAUGCUGGAGGUAUCAGAAGUGCGAAUGCUGACAUAAGUAACGAUAAAGCGGGUGAAAAGCCCGCUCGCCGGAAGACCAAGGGUUCCUGUCCAACGUUAAUCGGGGCAGGGUGAGUCGACCCCUAAGGCGAGGCCGAAAGGCGUAGUCGAUGGGAAACAGGUUAAUAUUCCUGUACUUGGUGUUACUGCGAAGGGGGGACGGAGAAGGCUAUGUUGGCCGGGCGACGGUUGUCCCGGUUUAAGCGUGUAGGCUGGUUUUCCAGGCAAAUCCGGAAAAUCAAGGCUGAGGCGUGAUGACGAGGCACUACGGUGCUGAAGCGACAAAUGCCCUGCUUCCAGGAAAAGCCUCUAAGCAUCAGGUAACAUCAAAUCGUACCCCAAACCGACACAGGUGGUCAGGUAGAGAAUACCAAGGCGCUUGAGAGAACUCGGGUGAAGGAACUAGGCAAAAUGGUGCCGUAACUUCGGGAGAAGGCACGCUGAUAUGUAGGUGAAGCGACUUGCUCGUGGAGCUGAAAUCAGUCGAAGAUACCAGCUGGCUGCAACUGUUUAUUAAAAACACAGCACUGUGCAAACACGAAAGUGGACGUAUACGGUGUGACGCCUGCCCGGUGCCGGAAGGUUAAUUGAUGGGGUUAGCGGUAACGCGAAGCUCUUGAUCGAAGCCCCGGUAAACGGCGGCCGUAACUAUAACGGUCCUAAGGUAGCGAAAUUCCUUGUCGGGUAAGUUCCGACCUGCACGAAUGGCGUAAUGAUGGCCAGGCUGUCUCCACCCGAGACUCAGUGAAAUUGAACUCGCUGUGAAGAUGCAGUGUACCCGCGGCAAGACGGAAAGACCCCGUGAACCUUUACUAUAGCUUGACACUGAACAUUGAGCCUUGAUGUGUAGGAUAGGUGGGAGGCUUUGAAGUGUGGACGCCAGUCUGCAUGGAGCCGACCUUGAAAUACCACCCUUUAAUGUUUGAUGUUCUAACGUGGGCCCCUUACCGGGGUUGCGGACAGUGUCUGGUGGGUAGUUUGACUGGGGCGGUCUCCUCCUAAAGAGUAACGGAGGAGCACGAAGGUUGGCUAAUCCUGGUCGGACAUCAGGAGGUUAGUGCAAUGGCAUAAGCCAGCUUGACUGCGAGCGUGACGGCGCGAGCAGGUGCGAAAGCAGGUCAUAGUGAUCCGGUGGUUCUGAAUGGAAGGGCCAUCGCUCAACGGAUAAAAGGUACUCCGGGGAUAACAGGCUGAUACCGCCCAAGAGUUCAUAUCGACGGCGGUGUUUGGCACCUCGAUGUCGGCUCAUCACAUCCUGGGGCUGAAGUAGGUCCCAAGGGUAUGGCUGUUCGCCAUUUAAAGUGGUACGCGAGCUGGGUUUAGAACGUCGUGAGACAGUUCGGUCCCUAUCUGCCGUGGGCGCUGGAGAACUGAGGGGGGCUGCUCCUAGUACGAGAGGACCGGAGUGGACGCAUCACUGGUGUUCGGGUUGUCAUGCCAAUGGCACUGCCCGGUAGCUAAAUGCGGAAGAGAUAAGUGCUGAAAGCAUCUAAGCACGAAACUUGCCCCGAGAUGAGUUCUCCCUGACUCCUUGAGAGUCCUGAAGGAACGUUGAAGACGACGACG
rnacentral:rRNA from 1 species